ensembl:lncRNA
AGCCAAUAGGAGCACGAGUAGUGACAAACUGAGGGCGAUUGGUGGAUCUGAACCAAAACAUCCGCCUCAGGGGAAAAACCAACCAAUGGCACGAGAGGACGGAGCGAGCACUGUGCAUGGAGCCGACUGUGAAAAUGAUGCACUCUCUCUGAAGACACAGCCCUGUCCUCCCGUCUGCCCAGCGUCCUGUCCCUCUGUCCCUGUGGCCUCUCGUCACUCUGUCCCCCCAGUGUCCUGUCCUCCUGUCCCCAUGCCUCCACCUAUACAGAUGUCCAGUCCAGAUGAGGCGAUGCAGAACAGUCUGGGGCUCAACUAUGAGCCGGUGCCCCUGCGGCUACAGAGCCCUGAAGAGCAGAGGGUCAGGGAGCUGCUCCAGAGACUGGUUCAGUGUGAUGGCUCUCUGGCGCCCCUCAUGGACGUGUGGGGUAAAUCCACUGUUG